CCUACGGGUGGCAGCAGUGGGGAAUAUUGCACAAUGGGCGCAAGCCUGAUGCAGCCAUGCCGCGUGUGUGAAGAAGGCCUUCGGGUUGUAAAGCACUUUCAGCGGGGAGGAAGGCGGUGAGGUUAAUAACCUCAUCGAUUGACGUUACCCGCAGAAGAAGCACCGGCUAACUCCGUGCCAGCAGCCGCGGUAAUACGGAGGGUGCAAGCGUUAAUCGGAAUUACUGGGCGUAAAGCGCACGCAGGCGGUCUGUCAAGUCGGAUGUGAAAUCCCCGGGCUCAACCUGGGAACUGCAUUCGAAACUGGCAGGCUAGAGUCUUGUAGAGGGGGUAGAAUUCCAGGUGUAGCGGUGAAAUGCGCAGAGAUCUGGAGGAAUACCGGUGGCGAAGGCGGCCCCCUGGACAAAGACUGACGCUCAGGUGCGAAAGCGUGGGGAGCAAACAGGAUUAGAUACCCCAGUAGUC
rnacentral:rRNA from 1 species